rnacentral:rRNA from 1 species
GAGAUAGCUGGUUCUCCCCGAAAUAGCUUUAGGGCUAGCCUCAGGGAAAAGAUUGCAGGCGGUAGAGCACUGAUCAGGAGAGGGACCUACCCGGUUACCAAACCCAGUCAAACUCCGAAUGGCUGCAAUCAUACCUGGGAGUCAGACUGCGACUAAUAAGGGCCGCAGUCAAAAGGGAAACAGCCCAGACCAUCAGCUAAGGUCCCUAAUGCCGUGCUAAGUGGCAAAGGAUGUGGCAUUUCAUAAACAACCAGGAUGUUGGCUCAGAAGCAGCCACCAUUUAAAGAGUGCGUAAUAGCUCACUGGUCGAGAGACGCUGCGCCGAAAAUGUCCGGGGCUCAAGCACGGAACCGAAGCUAUGGCAUGAUAGCAAUAUCAUGGGUAGGGGAGCGUUCUUAUAAGGAAGAAGCAUGACCGGAAGGACAUGUGGACAAAUAAGAAGUGAGAAUGCCGGUAUGAGUAUCGAAAAGAAAGGUGAGAAUCCUUUCCACCGAAAGCCCGAGGGUUCCUGAGCAACGAUCGUCGACUCAGGGUAAGUCGGGACCUAAGCCGAGGCGAAAAGCGUAGGCGAUGGACAACAGGUUGAAAUUCCUGUACCGGAUCAAGUCGAUUGAGCGAAGGAGCGACGCAGGAGGGCACAUGAUCGCGCGGCUGGAAGAGCGCGUCCAAGUGCGUAUGUUGCAGCAGAGGAAAACCCCUGCGGCUGAAAGCAGAGACAUGAUGGGGAGUUAAAGGAAACUUUGACGAACUCAUGAAUCCCACACUGCCAAGAAAAACUUCUAGCGAGACAAGAUCCGCCCGUACCGUAAACCGACACAGGUAGGCGGGGAGAGAAUCCUAAGGUGCGCGGGAAAACCCUCGUUAAGGAACUCGGCAAAUUGCAUCCGUAACCUAGGGAGAAGGAUGGCCCCCGGUCAGUGAAGAGCAGAAACGCUCAGAGCUAAAAGGGGCGGCAGAAAAGAGGCCCAAGCAACUGUUUACCAAAAACACAGGUGCCUGCGAAAGCGAAAGCUGAAGUAUAGGUGCUGACGCCUGCCCGGUGCCGGAAGGUUAAGGAGAGAAGUUAGCGAAAGCGAAGCAUCGAACUGAAGCCCCGGUGAACGGCGGCCGUAACUAUAACGGUCCUAAGGUAGCGAAAUUCCUUGUCGGGUAAGUUCCGACCCGCAUGAAAGGCGUAAUGAUUUGGGCACUGUCUCAACGAGGGGCCCGGUGAAAUUGAAAUACCUGUGAAGAUGCAGGUUACCCGCGACUGGACAGAAAGACCCCAUGGAGCUUCACUGCAGCUUGAGAUUGAAUCCCGGUGACAGAUGCACAGGAUAGGUGGGAGGCGUCGAAGCAUUGCCCUAGGGCGGUGCGGAGCCGAUGUUGGGAUACCACCCUUCUGUUGCUGAGAUUCUAACGCGAGGAGUAACGACCCUGCGGACCCUCUCAGGCAGGCGGUUUGACUGGGGCGGUCGCCUCCGAAAGAGUAACGGAGGCGCCCAAAGGUUCCCUCAGGCCGGACAGAAACCGGCCGAAGAGUGCAAAGGCAGAAGGGAGCUUGACUGCGAGACCAACAAGUCGAGCAGGGACGAAAGUCGGGC